rnacentral:rRNA from 1 species
GAUGAACGCUGGCGGCGUGCCUAAUACAUGCAAGUCGAGCGAACAGACGAGGAGCUUGCUCCUCUGACGUUAGCGGCGGACGGGUGAGUAACACGUGGAUAACCUACCUAUAAGACUGGGAUAACUUCGGGAAACCGGAGCUACUACCGGCUAAUAUAUUGAACCGCAUGGUUCAAUAGUGAAAGACGGUUUUGCUGUCACUUAUAGAUGGAUCCGCGCCGCAUUAGCUAGUUGGUAAGGUAACGGCCUACCAAGGCAACGAUGCGUAGCCGACCUGAGAGGGUGAUCGGCCACACUGGAACUGAGACACGGUCCAGACUCCUACGGGAGGCAGCAGUAGGGAAUCUUCCGCAAUGGGCGAAAGCUUGACGGAGCAACGCCGCGUGAGUGAUGAAGGUCUUCGGAUCGUAAAACUCUGUUAUUAGGGAAGAACAAAUGUGUAAGUAACUAUGCACGUCUUGACGGUACCUAAUCAGAAAGCCACGGCUAACUACGUG